CCCCUUUAAUGUCCAUCGUCAUUCUCCUAAACCUUUUUCCUUUAUUACUGAGGAUGAUGCAGAGCCAGGUAAUGAUGUAAGCUUCACUGCAGCCAAAUCCACAAGGUCAAUGAGAUUUUUAGUGGAGACAACUUGUCUUUUGUCUCCCCCAGCUGGUCAUAAAUUAUAUUUCAUCAACUGAGACCAUAGAACAAGAACAAGGACAGUGGUGGAAGAAAUACUGAUAUUCUACUACAAGUAAAAGUCCCACAUACAAAAUGUCACUUACUUGAAUGCAGAACGACACCUUUAAACCGUUGAAAGUGUAUAUUAUUAAUCAAGGUGGAGCUACUUUGUCUUGCUGUUAAAUAACAUAUUUUAUA